rnacentral:rRNA from 1 species
UUCAGCACACAAAAUACCAUGAGGGAAAUAUGAAAAGGACUUUGAAAAGAGAAUUAAAUGAGUUUGUAUUUGCUGAACAGAAAAUAAACAGAUUUGAUGUUGCUUGGUGAGAUUGUGGUGCUUGCUUGACAAUAGGUUUUGAUUGUGGGUGUGAUGAUUCUUGCUUUGCUUGCCAGUUUCUAUUUGUACAUUUGAUUACCCUUGCACAUGAAUGGUAAUUUUCCUGCGGGGUUUGGAUUGCAUGUGUUUGUGAUGAUUUGUGUUUUGAUACAUGUGUCUGGUGCUUUUGUAAUUGCUCAUUUCUUGAAGCUGGGCCUACCCUACUAGAGCUUACAAGCCCUGGCACACAAUUGCUGGCAAAAUGCUUCUGCUUGACCCGUCUUGAAACCGUGACCAAGAA